AUUUUUACAGCAAACCGUUUUUCAGGUGUUCUGCGCGUCUGUCCCGGAUAAGUAUCGGAGCAACGGAAAAUCGCCUCGCUUCUCUUACGAUUUAGCACAAUGUAAUUUGACCUGAACAGACUGUAAUGAAAUCAAUGAAAGAAGUCUAAUGACAAUUUAAUAUUCUCGUCAAGAUCGGUGCUUGAAAAAAAAAAAGAAGAAAAGAAGAGAGAAGAAGAGAAGACAAGGAAAUGGAUUUGCCGAGAUAUAUGGGUCUCGAUAAAACUAUCGUUUGUUUCUUUAUCGCGUGCUACUUUUCCUUACGACGCAGUCUGGUCGAAAGAGGAUACCAAUCAUGUAAAAAUAAAAAGAUAAGAAAAACUCCAAGUCGGAAGUACCAGGAAAUGGAGGGGAGGUGGACAAGAAAAGGCUGUCGACAUGAUACGUUCUCAUAUUUUGUUCGCGCGAAUUUAAAAUGAUCGGCCAAAAACAGAGAAAUAUUAGUCAAAUAUUAAUCGCUAUCUAGAUUACAGCAAAUACGCGCUAACAUUUACUUUAUUAUUACAAAAUAUAAAAAUAACAAAGUUGAAAUGCAAAAAUUGUCUUUAGCUCAUUGCAGCAAACGAAAAGUAUACUUCGUAAUGGCUUAAGAAGAUUUCAACGUAACAUUUUUAAACGAGAGAUCAUGCACACAAAUAAGAUCUUUUUCAUGAGAUAUUUUUCAAUGUUAGAAAAGCACAAAUGGAUCGAAAAUGGUCGAAACAAUGCAGCUGGAUUAAUGUCAUGAAGUACAUAAGAAGCUUCAUUUAAUUUAAAUUCGUCUGGCUGAUUAAGCAGCAGAGACUACUGUAUCAAAACAUAUUUCCGUUAUAAACAAGAGCGAAAGCGACGAAAUAAAUGUCAUUCCGAAUUU